rnacentral:rRNA from 1 species
GAUGAACGCUGGCGGUAUGCUUAACACAUGCAAGUCGAACGGACUCUUCGGAGUUAGUGGCGGACGGGUGAGUAACGCGUUAGAAUCUGGCUUUGGGUUCGGGACAACCACUGGAAACGGUGGCUAAUACCGGAUGUGCCGAGAGGUAAUAGAGAAAUUGCCUGAAGAUGAGCUCGCGUCUGAUUAGCUAGUUGGUGAGGUAAAGGCUCACCGAGGCAGCGAUCAGUAGCUGGUCUGAGAGGAUGACCAGCCACACUGGGACUGAGGCACGGCCCAGACUCCUACGAGAGGCAGCAGUGGGGAAUUUUCCGCAAUAGGCAGAGGGCUGACGGAGCAAUACCGCGUGAGGGAAGAAGGCUCUUGGGUUGUAAACCUCUUUUCUUAGGGAAGAACAAAAUGACGGUACCUAAGGAAUCAGCAUCGGCUAACUCCGUG